AUAAAAUGAUUUCAAUAAUUGAUUUUUCAUUUACAAUGAAAGUUUGUAUUUAAUA
rnacentral:tRNA from 1 species